rnacentral:rRNA from 1 species
AUACGGAGGGUGCAAGCGUUAUUCGGAAUCACUGGGCGUAAAGGACGCGUAGGCGGGUUGGCAAGUCAGAUGUGAAAUCCUACAGCUUAACUGUAGAACUGCAUUUGAAACUGCUAACCUAGAGUAUGGGAGGGGGAGAUGGAAUUAGUGGUGUAGGGGUAAAAUCCGUAGAUAUCACUAGGAAUACCGAAAGCGAAGGCGAUCUCCUGGAACAUAACUGACGCUAAGGCGUGAAAGCGUGGGGAGCAACCAGGAUUAGAUACCCUAGUAGUCC